UCGGGAAUUUUGUGCAAUGGGGGAAACCCUGACACAGCAACGUCGCGUGAAGGAUGAAGCCCUUCGGGGUGUAAACUUCGGAAGUAUGGGAAGAAUAAAUGACGGUACCAUACCUAAGGUCCGGCUAACUACGUGCCAGCAGCCGCGGUAAUACGUAGGGACCAAGCGUUGUUCGGAUUUACUGGGCGUAAAGGGUGCGUAGGCGGCGUGUCAAGUCACUUGUGAAAUCUUCAGGCUUAACCUGGAGCUGCCAAGUGAUACUGAUGUGCUAGAGUACAGAAAGGGUAACUGGAAUUCUUGGUGUAGCGGUGAAAUGCGUAGAUAUCAAGAGGAACACCUGAGGCGAAGGCGAGUUACUAGGCUGAUACUGACGCUGAGGCACGAAAGCUAGGGGAGCGAACGGGAUUAGAUACCCCCGUAGUCC
rnacentral:rRNA from 1 species